UUGGUAUUCUGUAAGUCUUGUGAAAGCCUUAGUGCAUCGAAGUUGAGCCUCUGUCCAUCUCAUUACUUCAUCACCUGCCACCCCCACCUGUCUCUGUCACAUGGUCCACUCAACUGUUGUAGGUCCCCAGUGUCCUGUUUAGUGUGUCUUCCCCACAUUUCUUUUGGCAGCUAAGAGGGCUGCUGUUGUACAUCUUUCUGUUGAAAUUAAAUUUACUGCUCUUUGAUGCUGUUUCUCUCUAGCUGAGCAUCUUGUGAUAGCAGGGUCUAGGUCUCAGAUCAUUUCUGUAUUCUUAACCUGACACCUGAAACUUACGGUGACUGUUGAGUGAUGGUAUAAGAUUCAAGGUUAACAGUCUUUCUAUUGUUUCUCUUGUCAUGAAUUGAAAGUUCAGUGAAUUAAAGUAGGAUUUGUAUAGUCACUUCAUCGUAUAUAUAUCAAGUUCUGCCCUUAAAACUUCCGUUUUCUCCAGGACCAAUCGGUGUGGUAGUUUUAAAUUUCAUACUUUAAAAAUCGAGCUUUAGAGUGGGCAAAAAUGCCCCUGAAACAUUUACAACUUCUGCUGUGUUUUGAAUUGGAAUAACAACUUUGUGUCCCUACAGCCAGAGUAGGACUCAAUAAAAGAAAGCUGAAAGGUGCUGGAAGCCUCCUGCGCUUUGGGGGUAUGGAGUCAGGAACAACUGGCAGGAGUUGUGUAGUUGAUUCUGCAUGUUGGCAUUGCCAUAAGAUUGGUUAGAAAAAAGAUCUGUGAAAGCUUUCCUGAGGGUUUGUGCUCUUGCUUUCACACGUCCCAUAAUUGAAAUUAACUGCUGCUGACUGGCUAAUGACCAGUAUUGAAAUGGGAAAAUCUUACUUGCUUAUGCUUUUGCUUAUAAACAUUGAAGUUUAAUGAAAUUUAACCAUAGUUACGUAUGAUUUUAUGAAAUUAGGUAGGCUUUCUCAAGAAAAAUGUGAGCAAUGUAAGGCAGGGUAUUUUUGGGAGGGGGUGCUUAUUGUAAGGGCAAUAAACAGUGAUAAAUAGUAGUGUCUGACGAUACUGGUUGAAUGAGUGAACUCAUGGUAACAUAACUCCAGUGUGGCAGACUGAUUCUUUGGUGCUUUUAUUCAGAUGGCAAACUUUUAUAGAAAUCGGAGAGUUUGGUAAAGACUUUUAAAAAGUAGUCAGAAUUACCUAUUAUAUCCUUUUCUAGAUAAUCAAUUUGGAAAGAAUUGCUGGUACCUUAAGCCACAUGUAUAACUCCUACUAUGGUGUUGAAAAUGUUCCGUUUGACAAAUGCAUCAAUGAGCAGGCACGUGAGAACAGUGUACUCUUCUUACUUAGGAAAACAACAAUGAAGGUCUUCCAGACAGGAGAGAGUCUGCACUGCAUCACAGCUGAUCCAAAAGUUCAAUUCAGUGAAAAGUUCACUGGUGUUAAAUACAUUCAUAUUGACCUUCAACCCUCACCACCAGACGUCUCCAGAACUUUAAAAAAUGAAGUUUUGCAUCCAGACAUCCUCCCCAAGGUAUUUCACAAUUACCCAAAUUUCUGGUGAAAAAUUUUAUGUAAAAACAAUAUAUUUUUACAUACACAAGAGUAAACACUGAAUUUAACAGCAGUUGCCAAUGUUGCCGUAGGGGAGGACUUCCCUACAUGGGGCAAAAUUUGCUGAAAUUCUUGAAAUAAGUCUACGAGACUCUUACUAGACUCUGCCUUUUUCUGGUAACUCACCCUUUCUCAAACUUAAGGUCUUCUUUGUAGGCCUUUGAAGUCCCUUCAGAACAGGUAGAUUGUUGAGGACUGUUUGUUGCCAGUUUGGUACAUGUGGAUGAUUUCUAAAAGUCUCCUGAUGGGCAAGUCUCCAGGGCGUGACCUGUGCUCACAGCGCCACCUGUUUAUGGAUCCCUUCUGUCUAUUUCAAUACAGUCUGUCAUUGGACGUAAGAAUGUUGUUUCUGGCCAUGUGCUUCUCCGAAAUCUCUGUUGAAUUCAGAUGUGUCCCAGGUCUUCCAUUUAACUUUACAGGGAAUUACCCAGUGAUCGCUGUGCUCCUUGAACCCUUGCUGAAGAAAUUAAGUCAGCUUUUGUUCAUCCAUAAUUCUCAUUAUGCCUGUUUAGAAGGAAAACCACCUCUUUGCUGAAAUGGUAAUUUAAAGACAUGGAUUUGCCAAGUUGAAUUGUAUCUGUUCAGCGUAAAGAUUUUUCUUCCCACACCCUGUCUUGUCCCGUGGACUCACGCUUCUAUAUCGCACUAGCUCUAGGCUCUGCCUCCUUUGCAUAUUUUCACUUUUCUUCAAAAUUGUGCUUAUUUCUCAAUGCAAGAAGUUCAACUAGAAGCCUUGUUCAUCCACUUUCUUUCAUUUUCCUUUAUCUUAAAAUAUACUUCUUGUCCAAAGUGAGUCUUUAAAUAGAUUUUUUGUUGUUGUUGUUGUAUUUAAAAAACCACAUUAUUUUCCUAGAAAAAUUCAAGCAGUAAAGAGGAAGGGCAACUCAGGUAAAAAUCUAAGAGUCAGCACUCAACCACUAUUUGUUUUGAUUAUUAUUGUAGGUUAUUACCUUACUGACAUGUAGUAAUGGUGAACAUAAAUACAGUCCUGGUAGGUGUCAGGCGCUAAAAUGUUUCACACCCAAACACUUCGGCUCCUUGUCACAGCAGCCCUCUAAGGGUCGGCACCACUGUUGUCCAGCCAUCCAGUGACCUGGAUGAGCAAACCAGAGCUCACAGAGCCUUAGGAACCUGCCUAGCACCACACAGCCGGAGCCACGGGAGUGAGCGCCACCCCCGGCCAGCCUGUCUAGGCAAUCCCUCCUGGCUGGUAUGCCUAUUCAUCUUUCCUAUGACCUGCCUUUUGUUUUGUUUUAGAUUACAGGAUAUAUUACAAGUCUUGCAAUAUUUAUGUACAGACUCAGAAUUUAAGGCUGUCAGCUUGAAGGUGGAGAGUGUAGACUUGAAUUAGUCUGCGUGAGUUUGAAUCCCGCUCUUCCAGUUACUGCUCCCUCGACAGAAUUACUUAACCUCUGUGCCCCAGUUCCUCCUCUGGAAAAGGGGAAGACAGAAAUGAUAUCUCUCAUAGUGUUUUGCAGGAAUUAAAUGAGUUAACAGAGGUACAGAGCUUAAAACAGUGGUUGCCACAUAAACACUGGGCAAAUGUUAGUUACCCGGAUUAAAUGGUCAGCACCUGCAGUGGUCUCUGCUCAUUUUGGGCUUGUUCAUGACAGAUUGGUUUGUGAGAGUGUAUGUGCUUUUAGAAUAGUUCUAGAACUAGAAUCAUUUGUACACAUUUUACUGAUUAUUUCUUAAGCAUUGUUCAUGAGAAUGUUUUGUUGUUGGUUUGGUGGCUGGCAGUUCUCUUAUUAAGCUUUCCUUCUUGCUUUCUAUUUUGUGAUAUUUUUGGUGAGUCACACAGCAGAGACGUGUUCUGUGGAACAAGCCUAUCCUUGGAUUACAACAGACAGUGAAAUUUUAUUUCUAGUGUGAGCUCGAUUCUGUGACCUGUGUGCUUCUACUUCUAGUCUAUUCUUUUCAGUAGUGGUCACUGCAGAUUACUUGCCAUUGUAUAGGUAGGUCAGCUGCCCUGGGUGCCUUGCUUAAGCCUUCUCAGCCCUGAGUUGGUUGCCGUUGCAUCACAGAUGAAGAAGCAGAUAGAGUUAUGUCCCAGCCAGGGGUCUGCAGAGUGCUACGACACUCAUUCCCUCUGUAAGGAAAGCCCGAUUUAAGGGUGGCAGCCUUGCCUGUGACUGUCCCAUGAAAGAGAAUUUGACUGUGGAUUCUGUCAUAAGAUAAUUAGAUUAUUUUGAUGACUACUAGUUCUGCACACUUGCGUUUUAGGGACUCUUCCUUACUUAGGAGAUUCUGCCUUUAGAUACUGCGUUUACAGAGUGCUUUCUAACAUAGAUGUUUGGUGGAGAAGGGGCAUCUGUUUGUCAGCACCACCUCUUCUGGCUCUGCAUGCCGUUUUUCUCUCAACACCUCACCUGAUGGCAGGCAGACAGCUCUGAGUGGCUGCCACGUGGUUAGACUGUUGGGAUGACUUUUGUCAACACAAACACAGCUCAUACGGAUCUUAAGAACAAGUUUAUGCUUCCAGCAAAAGAAAAACUUUGAACUGUGACUUGAGUGUUACUGUUUCGUUACAUGUGUGUAAUGCAUAUGACUGUUACUGCUGGUUCUUGCCAUCGGUAUUCCCAUCCCUCCCUGUCCUCCCGACUACUGUGGUGAAGCUCCUGACAGUGUAGCAUGCAGGUGCUAGCCCGUGGGAGGUGAGUCUCUAGUUAGGGAGCUUGUUAGCAAUUGUAUUAGUCAGGGUUCUCUUGGAGGGACAGAACUAAUAGGAAUAUAUAUAUAAAGGGGAGUUUAUUAAGUUUUAACUUACGCAAUCACAAGGUCCCACAAUAGGCAGUCUGCAAGCUGAGAAGCAAGGAAAGCCAUCCUGAGUCCCAAAACUGAAGAAUUUGGAGUCCGAUGUUCAAGGGCAGGAAGCAUCCAGCACAGAGAAAGAUGUAGUCUGGGAGCCUAGGCCUGUCUCUCCUUUUCAUAUAUUUCUGCCUGCCCCAUAUUCCCUGGCAGCUGAUUAGAUUGUGCCCACCAGAUUCAGGGUAGAUCUCCCUUCCCCAAGCCACUGACUCAAAUGUUAACCUCUUGGCAGUUCCCACCCAGACACACCCAAGAUUAAUACUUUGUAUCCUUCAAUCAAGUUGACACUCAGUAUUAACCAUCACAUCAAUAAUCAAAAUAGUAUAGAAAGUGAGAUUAGUUCAUUAAUAGCAGUUACUUGCAGUUACUUAUUUGAUGCAGAGGAUCUAAAAAUAGAGAACAGUUAAAACAUAAAUGUCAAUGAAAAAUGUAAUGCUAUGAGCAAAAUAUUAGGGAAGCCUCUCUUUGUCCUUUCUCGUUAUGUGUAUUUAUGGUGUAUGCAGUGAUGCCUAGGUUACCAUUCUCUGGAGAAUGCUUACUGCAAACGGGGUUGUUAGCUGUGGGCAUAAGUUGUCUCAGGGCCAGGCUGGUGGCUGGGGAGGGGGUGGCCCCAGCAGGACUCCUUAUUGAAGGUUGGAGUGGCACCCGUUGCUAAGUGGCUUUUGUGGUCACCCAGAUAAUGGAGCUGGAGAUGCUGACCUUGGCCGUGUUUAAGCUCCACUUCCCUGCCUCAGAUGUUUUUUGAGGGACAAGAAGGCCAGUAAAUCAUGGUCUGCCUUUUCUCAAGAAGUAGGGGGAAGAGACUUGUAGGAAAGGAAAUGGAAACCCGAAUCCUGAGAUGUAGUUCAUGUCUAACGUGAUGUUUAAGGAUGUUUUCAUUAAUAGAGCUGUCAAAAUAUUUUCAUAUGUAGAAGAUAUCUUAACUUUAUGGGAUUGCUCCUUAGAGAGAGUAGAUUUUAAAAGCUGUGCUUCUUGAUGCCCUUGGAAGCUGUCACAUGAGUCUGGUUUGUUGCCAUUGUGGGGUACCAUAUCUGUCUCUUUACAUGUGCUUGGUACAGAGUGACUCCCUGCGUGUUGUUUGGCCUUAUGCAGUUUGACUUCUCUAUCUCAGCAAGCCUUUAAAGCACCUCGGUUAUGACGUACAUGGAUCUGGUUAAGUUGUAAAGACUCAUUACCAUCUCCUUAAAAUCCAGCAUUCAACACAAAGUGUACAUUCCCCAUUCAAUCACAUAAUCAUUUUUAUAAAUUCAUAGCUCUGGUCUUAAACAGGAAGUAAGGGGACCCUGCUUCCUCCCUGAGCCCCACUCACUAGAAACCAGAAGCAAAAAGAACGGCAGGACUCCUGGAUAUCUUGCUCUUGAGGGCGCUGUGCUGUUUUCUGUGUGUGUGCCAGGUUCUGUUGCUGUUUUAACAUCCUGCUUAAAUAAACAAAACACCCUAGGAUGAAAAGUAACAAGUCCCCUUCUUCCCUGUAAUCGCCCCUGAUCCCCUAGCAUAGUCUGUAGGUUUUAGCUUCAAAAGAAAUAUUUGAAAGAGAGAAAAAAGUGCUGCUGUUUCACUGGAGGUAUUUUUGUUCUUUUUUGAGAGGGUGGAUGAGUUAAUUCUGACCAUGGCUUAAGCCUAUAAAGUAGGCUUUAAGCCCAUGACCGAGCCAUCAGCUCUGCCUAGUGACAGCUUCACUCUACAACGCUUUCUUUUUUGGAGAGUAAUUUUUCACCUGAGCCAUAUAAACAUGAAACCCAUAGUAAAUAAUACAUCUUGUGAUAUUUAUGAAAAGAGUAUUCCUUGCAAGUAACUUCUGAAAGAUCUGUAAACAUGAUCUAAUAGACGGUGAUCUCAAAGCUCCCUGCCUUUGGGGGCUGUUAAGUUAACGUGAAUGCCCGCUAUAGUUAUUAGUGUGCUAGGUCUACAACGUUUUCAUAUGAAAUACUUCAGGACUGUUAAUUUGCUUAUGCCUAGUUUGUAAUUCCUAGACUGUUUCCUCAUUUAUAUCUUCAAAGAUAAACUCUUAUGGCAGUAAUUGUCCAGGUGGUCCACUUUGUUAAGAAUAUCUCUUCCCUUUCUCAAAGAAAUAAAAUGAGAACUAUCAUUUCACCUAGCAUCCCACUACUGGGUAUCUACCUAAAGAAAAAGAAAUCAUUCUGUCAAAAAGGCACCUGCUCAUGUAUGUUUAUUGCAGCAAUAGCAAAAUCAGGGACUCACUUAAGUGCCUAUCAACAGUGUAGUGGAUAAAGAAAAUGUGGUACAUAUACACCGUGGAAUACUGUACCCCCAUAAAAAAGAAUGAAAUCAUGUUCUUUCAGCAACAUGAUGCAGCUGAAGGCCAUUAUCCAAAGUGAAUUAAACUACAGGUAAAGCAGAAGAUGUUGAAAGCACAGAGGGAGAAAGAGAGAUUGCCUGAGGGCCUGCAAUGACACUGAGUGUGGGUUUCCACAGUAAUCAUGGAAGUAUGAAGAUGGAGCUGAGAACAUAACUGCCAACCUAGAAUACUUUACUAAUGUAAAAUAUGAUUCAGGAGACAAAAUCAGAAAAUCAAAAACAAAAAAUCAAAUACCACGUUUUCAUUUGUAAGUGGGAACUGAGCAGUGGAUAUGCAUGAAUGUAAAGACAGGAGCAAUAAACACUGGGGACUCAAUAAAGGAGGGAGGGACGGAGGGGAUCAGGUGUUGAAAAGCUACCUAUUGUAGUACUGAAACAGGGUACUAUGUUCACUGUUUGAGUAAUGGGUUCACUAGAAGCCCAAACCCCAGCUUUAUAUUGUAUACCAUUGUAACAAACUGGUACACGUAAUCCCUGAAUCUGAAAUAAUUAAAUUAUUUUUUAAAAGACUACCUCUUCCCCUUCUUUGCUUUGCCUUUCAUGGCAAAAACAGAUAAAGCUGGUCACAUGAUGUUCUUUUGGAAUUUUAAAAAAAAGGUCAUUUCACAGU